rnacentral:lncRNA from 1 species
CUCUAUUUAUCGAGCAUAUCAUUGUACCACGGGAAGACUUCCCCCAAGAUCAAUGCACAUGUAUAUCCGAAAUCGGGGAGUCAAGAACAAUCUGUGAGCUACUCAUUAUAGUCAUUGUCGAUAUUAACUCUUGUGCGGGUUUUCUUGGUUAUCCGCCUUUUGCUGAUUUGCUCCUGUUGCUGUAGUAAUCCAAGGGUGAGGUGCCAUGACUGCUGAUAAAGUACGUCUGUCACACCAGGAAAUGUAAUGUUUCAAUUGCAUAUAGCAAGGAAGGUCAAUUUGACACAGCUGGGCUGCCAUUCGCCUCUCCCUUCUCCCGUGGAAAUGUGGUUGAUGUUUCUCAGAUCUUCAGGUUGGUGCCCCUGUUUGAUGAAACAUUUUAGUGAGAUUAUGUGGAUCUUUGGGGAAAUCUAUUUCUGCUUCUUGAUGGAAUUCUUUUCAUCCAGUAGUUAAGAAGCAAACAAAUGGCUUGAACAGUUCUCUUUGUACGAACAUAAUUAGCUCUCAUUUAGUACAUCAGCCAUCGCAGUUUCUUCCUCUUCUUCUUGGUGCUUAAUGACUGCGCAGGUUGCAUGACAAGUUUUCUUCCUGUGGAAGAUAUUGUGUAUCUUCCAUCUAGCAUCGUAAAAAGGCGGUCUUAGAUUGCUCUGUACUAAUGAUUGUCUCGAGGGAUUAUUUCAUUCAUACUGCUCUGAAUUAAUCAUACUCUCCUGCUACCUCAUUACCUCAGUAUGGUACAACUUUGCUAGCCAUUGUUUGUAUUUGUAGUACAAAUUGUAGAAUUAGGAUCCACCGACAUCUAUUUACUGCUCUGGAUUAAUUAUUAUUUGAUGACCAUCUAAAGAUACCAUCUGACCUAAUGUUUUUCAUUAACUUCUUCUCCAGACCACGCAAGCAGCGGUGACGCCGUACAGGUCGCUCUUACACCACCAGACUCCCUUCAGGAUAGUUACCCAUGGGCACGUACUUCUGCUGUUUAUUCUUACUUGUGAUUCCGCUCGUUGUGAUCGUGGCUCGAUCCAUGUUGCGGACCAAUUAUUAUUUUUG